rnacentral:tRNA from 1 species
UCCCUGGUGGCUCAGAGGUUAAGCAUCUGCCUGGAAUGCUGGAGACCCAGGUUCAAUUCCUGGGUCGGGAA